UACGUAGGGGGCAAGCGUUGUCCGGAAUCAUUGGGCGUAAAGAGCGUGUAGGCGGCCCGGUAAGUCCGUUGUGAAAGUCGAGGGCUCAACCCUCGAAUGCCGGCGGAUACUGCCGGGCUAGAAUCCGGAAGAGGCGAGUGGAAUUCCCGGUGUAGCGGUGAAAUGCGCAGAUAUCGGGAGGAACACCUAUGGCGAAGGCAGCUCGCUGGGACGUUACUGACGCUGAGACGCGAAAGCGUGGGGAGCAAACAGG
rnacentral:rRNA from 1 species